CUGAGUAAGGGUCUUUCAGGCCCGAUCUCCAACCCUCUGUUAAUAACACUAUGUUGCUUUGGCGAGCCGUCUCAAAAGGACGACAUGAAUAAAACUUCAAGUCAGCGCUCGCCAAUGGCCAAUUUAAAUUCUUCAAAAUUAUGUCGUCUGAUAAAAAUAUUUAAUUAUAUA
rnacentral:misc_RNA from 1 species